CUCUCAAAUCCCCCUCGUCUCUUACCUUGAACCCUAGAGAUGCCUCCCCAAGUUCUAGCCACCUCCGCUGGCGGCGACCACUCAAAUGUCAAAUCUGAAUCCAUGAUUUAAAAAUCCUAAAACCCACAAAUAUACCCGACUUCACCCCAAAUGACCCUUCACCUCUUUCAUGCUCCAAACACAUUCUUGUUUCCCGUCAAAUUAGCUCGUCAAUGGUGGAGCAGAGGUCCGGAAUGCCCUAGUUCUCGCCUUGUGCAUAUUUUUUCUGUUUCAGCAAGGUUGAGUGAACCCAAACCGUCAUUAAUCGUUUGUCAUUUGUUAAGGACAAUCGAUUAAUGACCGUCAAAGGUUCACUUUCUUCUUCAAAAGGUUUAUUUGAGUUCAUGCGAGUUCUUGUUGAGGCAGGUUUGGGAUAAUUUCUUUGUGACAAUUAAUUUCCGUUUGAUCUUAUCUUUUGUUUAUUUCCAGUUUAUUUCUUUAGAAGUUUCGUUUCUUUUUUAAUUGCAUUACAUCUCUAGUUUUUAUAUUCAUUAAUUAGCUUGUCUGCUAAAUUAUUAAUGACAACCAGCUUCAUAGGGUUUGAGUGUAACUUGUUUUCAAUUCAUGAGAUUUUGUUCUAUGUGGUAUGUUUUAUUUUUAUGCUUGAGAAUUAAUUCUAGAACUGAAGCAUUGAGAUCAGCCAACUAUAGGUCAUUAGUUGCCUUAAUUCCUGUUUCAAGAGCAUUUUCUGAGUUCAUGUUUAUGUGUGAAGUGUCUUAGGUUUAAUUUAGACUAAUUCUUCAUGGUUUAAUAUGAUUAAACAAUUGUUUUCAAUUUCAUUGGUUUUCAAUCCAGCUGAAAGUGCCAGCUCGGUUACAUACUAUUUAUUGUGAUUGUGAACAUUCAGAACUUGGGGGGUGGUGUAAGUGUAUAAUUAGGAAAACCUUAGGGGUAGUUUUGGGGAUUGGUUUAACUUGAAGAACCUUUUAAUAACUUAUUGGAAAGCUUCUUGAAUGGACAACAGCCUAAAAUUAUUAGGGAAAACAGACUGCAAAUUGAAAAUAUAUGAAGGAAAAGGACAGCUGUCCAAAAACCAGUUUUGAAAGAUGCCAUGUGAGGGUAUUUUGGGAAAAUCUGAUUGCUUGCCUUGGAAGGCACACAACAGACCCCCAGCCUUAUAAAUGAAGCCUUUCUUUCACUCAACACACAGUUUUUACACCUUAGAAAAACUGAAAAAUAUAAGAAGAAAUACUGAAUUUCAGAAGCAAUUAAUUUCCUUCUGAAAAUUCCAAGAAAAGGUUCAAAAUUGUUUGAACUGGUUUUGGUUUCUUAGAUUUGGUUCCCUGAAUCUUCUAUUAAUAUAGAACUUCUGAAAAACUUCCAAAAUUGUGCAUCUGGUGGAAAAAUGGCUCGGAUUUGGGUUUAGAAGUUUGAUUUGAGUUGUUGGGAGUUGGUUUUUGGAAGUCUGGGUUGGUUUCAGUUGUGUAAACACUGUUAUAUUGCUGCUGAUACUGCUAUGUUGCUGUUGAUCCCUCAUUUUUCCUAUUUUCUUUGUUUUCCAUGUACAUGUUCUUGAUACUUGUAUAAUGUGAUGCUGAAGUUUGAAGCAUGAAAUGAAAAUGGAUGUUCAAAGCAUGACAUUAAGUUACCUAUUUAUAAUCUAAUUGUUUUUCUCUGAAUUACAUGGUGUUUUGCUUCUAGAUUAGCAACAUUUUCUAGUUGCUUUCAAGUGUAAUAACUGAGUUCCUGCCAUUGUAUCUAGCCUUGGGCUGUUAGGGUAUGGACUUGAUUUAUUUGAACAACAUCUGAGUUGUAUGGUAGUGUUAGAUUCCAAAUUAAUUUUAUGGUUGUUUGUUACAUUCUGGGCUUAAAUGGCUUUAGAGUCUAUUGUGUGGCUUAUGAGCAACAGGGAUGAAAGCGUUAACUGUCUGAUAUUGGUAAUUCUGUUGAAAAGCCUUGGUUAAGGCUUAAAGUUCAAUGCAAGUGCUUGUGAGUUAUUUUAGGAUUGUAUUCAAUUAAAAGUGGUUCCAUUCUGUCUCCCUGUCAUCAGUACUUGAACUCAUGAAUGAUAUUUGCUUUAGACUUGUGAUUUAACUUUGUAGUAUUGGGAGCCUGUUUCUCCAAUGAGUAUAUCAUUUACUUUGAGCAUGAAUGUAAGGUUGUUUGUAAAUAGGGAUUGUUUCAUCAUAUACUGCAUGGGCUUAAUAUCAUUAGUCCAGUUAUACUUAAUUUUCCCUUUCUUGGCGGGUUUUUCUUUUGAUUUGGGCUUUAUGUUGAGCCCAAUUACAUUCUUGUGUCAUGUUCAAACUAUUAUGAAUCGGUUGCUAGGCCCAUAGCCAACAAUGUGGGUUUUGUUAGCAAUAGCUCCAUGGCUUUCAAAUUUCAGAUUCGUUUGGGUUUAAAAGUAAAUGAGAAGUUCAAUUAGCCUUUUAAUAAAUUGACUAGACUCCUUUAAAUGAAUUUGGGAGGGGUGCCAUAUUAAGGACAAUAAUAGUUUAUGGCACUCAUAAUUUCAAGUAAGAAUUUUAGACGUUUAGAUGUGAAGCGUGCCAUUUUAAAUAAGUUAUAGUUAAUGGCCCUCAAGGUUUAGUUUGAGUUUUCCUUUAAAAUUGGAAUCGAGAUGCGUUGUGCCGAAUAAAAUUUCAAAAUGCAUGGCCCUCACAUAAAAUAAUAUUAACUCUCUAUCUCAGGAAUGUUAGGUAAAAUAUGUCGUGGACCACGGGUGCAUUUAUGUGACGUGGUUCAAGACGUUUUUAGAUGAAGUUGAAUUUUUUCUUAAAAAUUAAUUAAAUAAGCGGUUGAAGUUAAAAUUGAACUAUAGGUUAAAACAUAUAUUAAAAUCAGAUAAUAGGCCAAUUAUAGAAGUUGAGCGACUGUGCUAGAACCACAGAUAUCGGAAAUAUCUAACACCUUCUUCAGGGUUAAUAGAAUUUCUUGCCCAGAUUUCUGUGUUCGCUGACUAUAAAACAGAGUCAAUCUUUCAUCGAUUCGGGAUUUUAAACCGGUGACUUAGGAUACCAUAAAUUAUCCCAAGUGGGGACUCUGAAUUUUACAUAAAAAUAAUCUCGUUUCGAUUGUCACUUAAAUUGAAAAAACUCCUUUAUAUCUUCUCGGGUGUUGGAAAAAGGAUGUGUGACACUUGCAUUCAAAAAUGCUUUAAUAGAUCGCGUCUUUAAUAUAUGCAGAGGUUUUUUAUAAAAGAGGCUCAUUUUAUAUUAACAAUACUAAUGAAGAUGACGUCUCAUCUUCAUAUUGGUGCAAAAAUAUGAAAUAUGAGGUAAUUUGAAGAAGUUUUCUUUUUGAACUUCCAAAUAAGUAUUUAGGUACAACAGUUUCACAACUGCUUUCUUUUUCAGGCUUACAAGUACUGGUGUAUUUUCGUAUGAUUAAAUCUAUGGCCUUAACCUAAAAUCUCGUAGGAGUAUUCUAUAGGUUUUUCAACUCUUUACUGCCCAUUCUUUUUGCGAGCUUGAACACUUCGAGAAAUUGACAUUUCUUCAUGGGUUUUCCUUUGGCUAAGCUAUGCUUUUGUGGUGUACAUAUUAGUUUCCUGUGUACUCUUCCAUAUGCAUAGUCCCUCUAGUGUUUGAGCAUUGAAGCAUGAGAUUUCGAACACUAGAUCAGCUCCUUACUUCGGUCAUUUCCUUGAAAAACGAAAUACACACGGGGCUCGGAGGUAGCAUUUUAGAUGAUGACUGCUUAUCCCUUGCCAUUAGAAUUUCUAUAACCUAGAUCGAGAAUAAUUAAGUAUUCCGCUUGUCUUUCGGGUUUAACCUCAUCACCUAGCAUGGGCUAGCUUUUUGACUAUCAUCUAAAAUGGUUAGUAAAAUAUAAAUAAAAAAAGUAAAAAAAACUUCUAUGAUACAUGGUCGUGGGUGUUAACUUCUUCAGAAGUCAUACUUCUUCAAAUUUGGACUCAGCUUUCCUGCAUUCGCCGGUUGUGUGGAUCGAAAGACUUUUUUGAGGGCAAAGUCUCCAAUUUUGAAAUAUCGCAGGUUCGCCUUCCUGUUGCAGUACCGUUCAAUCAUCUAUUUUUUAGGCGCCAUCCAAAUCAAUGUUGCCUCUCUUCUGUUUUCUAUCAAAUCUAUGUUUACACAAAGUUCUUCUUCAUUUGUCGCUUCAUUUGUAUGCGUGUAACUUGUUCUUGGUUCCCCUAUCUCCACUGGAAUUAGAGCUUUAGUUCCAUAUACAAGAAAAAAUGGGGUUUCUCUCGUUCUUAUAUUUUUUGUCGUUUGGUAAGCCCAUAAUACCCCCGAUAACACCUCUAGCUACUUGCCUUUUGAUUCUUCCAAUCGCUUCUUUAGGUUGUUGGUGAUGAUGACCUUAUUUGUCGACUCUGCUUGACCAUUAGCUAGGGUGAUAAGGUGCCGAAGUGAUUCGUUUAAUCUUCCAACUUUUGAAAAAAUAAGUAACUUUAUUACCUAUGAAUUGCGGUCCAUUAUCACAAGAGAUUUUCUUUGGAAAUCCAAAUUGACAUAUUAUAUUUCUCCAAUUAAGUCAUAACCCUCCAGGUUGGCUUCAAUUAAAGUCUCGAGGCGAGUGUUCAGAAAAGCCCAGCUAACAUCUAGCAAUAACUUAUCCUCGAGGGCUUCGUAAUCCUUCUCCUUGAUCAGUCUCAGCUCUCAAUUCUCCUUUUUGUGCAUCCAGGGCUUCAUAGGCUAUCUUUAAAAGGGCAAGAAAACUUUCCAAGAACUAAAUUUUAUCUGUAGAGGUGCGGAGAUCUUCCUGAGCUUGAGUAAGUGUUUGAACCAAUUCACCCGCGUAAAUCUCUUUUUAAUUAAGGAGUUCUUUCAAAUCUCUUAUCUCUUCAGUAGCCUUGGAGAGUUGUUCAGCAAAGAGGAUUCCAGUCAGUCCUUAUCUUUCCUGACUUGAUUGGAAGAAGAUUUUUCAACUACUAACUCAGCGGAAACCAUUCUCAUUUGUUUCUCCAAACCACCAUUUUCUUCUUCAAGAACUUCCUUUUCAUUAAAGACCUUCAAGUUAAUUUUUUCAGUUAUUAGCCUUGGUGCGAAAUUCAAUAAUUUGUUGUUUAGUCUAAGAAACUCUUUUCAUAAGCUCUGUGCCAAUCAAAUUAAGCUGCAAAAAAUGUAGGGAAAAACGAGUCAUGAAUAAGGAAAAAUAAGGAAGGAAAUGUAAGUAAACUUAUACCUUCAGAGAAAAAUGAACGAUGUCAUUCAUUAUGGUCAGUGAACUAUAACUUUCCAGCUUCUUAUUCUCCAUGGGGCCUAACAAUUAGGGAUGUUCAUGGUUUGGUUUUUCCCUAAAAAGAAACCAAACCAAGUAAGUCGGUUUUUCAAAUAUUAGAACCAAACCAAACCAAUUAAGUUGGUUUUCUCAAUUCGGUUUAUAUCAGCUUUUUGGUUUUUUUUGGUUAUUUGUCGGUUUUUUCUUAAAUGUAAGACAUGCACUACCAAACACAUAUUCCAGCAAUCAUAUUUUCAAUGUAACAUAUUCUCUUGUUAUUUGUUAUGUGCUAUGUGGGGUUGGUGUAUAGGUAUGGUGACGGUUACCUAUGCGCCCAAGUCAAGCAUGGUUGUGAUGUCAUAUUUGUUAUUAAAUUGUGAAAUAAGAGAGCAAUUGUGAUAAUUACAUGAUACAAGAGACAUGAAGUGAAAGUUGAGAAUUAAAUGAAUUAAAAAGGAAUUUUGGUACUUUUCCCUUGCCGGGACCAUUUGUUGAGUUGUAUUCCCUAGCCGGGACAUAUUGUUGAGUUGUAUUUCCCUUACCGGGAUCACUUGUUUAAUUGGUAUCCCUUGCUGGGAUAUUCUGUCUUGAUAUACAUAUAUUUUCUUGCUCCCGUUUGGCUUUGACCAUUGUUUGGGAGAGGAAGAGCGAGUAAAAGCAUGAAGGGUGAUGCCGUGCACUGUUUAUUGAGAGUAAAAGCACGAAGGGUGAUGCCGUGCACUGUCACUGUUUAUUAAGAGUAAAAGCACAAAGGGUGAUGCCGUGCACUGUUUAUCGAGGGUAAAAGCACGAAGGGUGAUGCCGUGCCUUGUAUUUGAUAUUCAUGGUGAGAAAUGAGAGUAAAAACACGAAGUAUGAUGCCGUGCAUUAUAUUUGACUAUUUUGGUAAUGAAUGAGAGUAAAAGAGCGAAGGGUGAUACCGUGCAACCAUUGAAUCAUUGGCUUUCAUAUUUAAUUAUUAUUUAUUCAGUUUCAUCUCUUGAUUGUAGAAGUUAUAAUUGAACUGUUACUCCCCCAACAUUUCCUCUUCCCCUUUAUUUGCUUAAAUUCUUGCUCUCUUCCUGUUAUUACAUAUAUCUGCGCAGGUUGGUUGCGAUAUGUCCGGUUUAGCCUCGUCACUACCUCACAGAGGUUAGGCCGGGCACUUACCAACACAUGGGGUCGGUUGUGCUGAUACAACGCUUCUGUGCCGUUUUGUGCACAGGUCAGGACCCAGGCUACGGACCACAGCUUUAGACCGGGAGUGAUCCUUCAGUACACAGGCUCUGAGGUAGUUCGCUGGGGUUCGCAGGCCCCGGGUCUCCUUUAUCUAUUUCUUUCAGUUUGUUUUAUUGAAUCAAACAUACAUGUUAUGUAUUUUCGUUCAGACUAUUGUUUUUAGUACUCUGUUAGUAGUCCGUGAGUAGU
rnacentral:lncRNA from 1 species